rnacentral:rRNA from 1 species
UACGUAGGUGGCAAGCGUUGUCCGGAUUUACUGGGCGUAAAGAGCGCGCAGGCGGUCGGAUCAGUCGAAUGUGAAAGCCCCCGGCUUAACUGGGGAGGGUCAUUCGAUACUGCUCGACUUGAAGGCAGGAGAGGGAAGUGGAAUUCCCGGUUUAGUGGUGAAAUGCGUAGAUAUCGGAAGGAACACCAGUGGCGAAAGCGGCUUCCUGGUCCAGCAUCGACGUUCAGGCACGAAAGCGUGGGGAGCAAACAGG